CCACAGGGACCAAAACCUCAAUUUACUCUAACAAAAUUCGAACUUGCAAACAUUACAAUUUCUUAAAGAAUAAACGUAAACAUUAUUUGUGGUUCAAUGACGUUGUCUUCUGGUUUCAUGGAUUCCGCACCUGGAGACUGGUCACCGUCAAGAUUUCCUGCAAACUAUGCAUGAGAUCUUUAAGCAAGUGUGGGACUUGUCUCAUGAGGACAAAGACAGCAUGCUUUGUCUCAAGGAAUGUUGUAUUGCUCUGUACCUUGUGGAGCGGUUCAAGGAUAUCUAUGAGGGUCUAACACCUGCUGCUUCACAAUGGAUACCUUCACUAGGCGUCCAACAAGCACAUGGGAUGACGGAGCCAUGACAGGUGGCCCUGUUUGAGCUAAAACCACCUCAUCCAGUUCCAAUAACUAAGGCUGAUGAAUAGCAGCAGAACCAGCGUAAGCAGAUGAUUCCUGUGUUGAAGAAGCAUCUAGAGGACAAACUUAGCACUGAGGAGCAAAAAUCAUUGACUUCUAAGUUCCAGGAGGAGGCAACUGAGGGAGA